rnacentral:misc_RNA from 1 species
CCGAGUUUUAAGGUCUCUAAGGCCUAAACCUCCAACCCUAUGUUUAAUUACCUUGUGUUGCUUUGGCACGUUUGUUGCCAAUAGCCUUUAAAAAUCUGACUUCAAAUUAUGAUCUGAAAAAUUAUUAUUAAAUAAGCAAA